AACGCACAUUGCGCCCCCUGGAAUUCCGGGGGGCAUGCCUGUCCGAGCGUCAUUUCUGCCCUCCAGCGCGGCUGGGUGUUGGGUGUUGUCCCCCCGGGGACAUGCCCCAAAGGCAGUGGCGGCGCCGCGUCGGGUCCUCGAGCGUAUGGGGCUCUGUCACUUGCUCGGGACGGACCUGCGGGCGUCGGUCUUCCCCAUGCAGUCUCCCGGAAGGGAGGGUGUCUUCUACGGUUGACCUCGGAUCAGGUAGGGUUACCCGCUGAACUUAA
rnacentral:misc_RNA from 1 species